rnacentral:rRNA from 1 species
GUGGGGAAUCUUAGACAAUGGGGGAAACCCUGAUCUAGCCAUGCCGCGUGAUCGAUGAAGGCCUUAGGGUUGUAAAGAUCUUUCAGGUGGGAAGAUAAUGACUGUACCACCAGAAGAAGCCCCGGCUAACUCCGUGCCAGCAGCCGCGGUAAUACGGAGGGGGCUAGCGUUGUUCGGAAUUACUGGGCGUAAAGCGCAAGUAGGCGGAUUGGAAAGUUGGGGGUGAAAUCCCGGGGCUCAACCCCGGAACUGCCUUCAAAACUCCCAGUCUUGAGUUCGAGAGAGGUGAGUGGAAUUCCGAGUGUAGAGGUGAAAUUCGAAGAUAUUCGGAGGAACACCAGUGGCGAAGGCGGCUCACUGGCUCGAUACUGACGCUGAGGUGCGAAAGCGUGGGGAGCAAACAGGAUUAGAAACCCCGGUAGUCC